UAGGCUUAGGAGACUUUACGGAAUCAGUUUUGGAGCUGUAACGAAGAUUUGAGGCCUUGAGUUGAGAAUUUGAGGAACUUUAAGCCAAGGUUUGACUUUGGUCAACUUUUGGAGUUCCGAUGCUCGGAAUGGAAUUCCGACAACUCCGUUGGAUUCAAGAGAUGGUUUUUGGUCUAGAAGAAGUAUUGGUUGAAUUUUUAGAGGUCCCGAGUCCAUUUUGGUAUUUUAAAGGCCUAAGUUAGUUUAGUUGCGACUUUUUGAGUUUUGGGCCAACGAAAUCUCGAAUUCAAAUUUUGAUGGUUCCAUCAGCUCCGGAAUGACCAAAUUAGGCUAGUAGCACUGUUGGAAUGACUAUCGAGUCAAUCGAUACGAAUUUGGGGCUAUUUGGUGCUUUUGACUUUGAAACUUAGCCUAUAGUUGACUUUGGUCAACAUUUUUGGAAAAUGCGCUCGAAUAAAAAUUCUGACAGCGCGGUUAGUUCCGAAAUGUUGAUUUUGGUCUAGAACGACCCUUCGUUCGCUUUUUGAGGCUUCCGAACUAAUAUCGAGGCCCGUUGUGAAAUAUGACUUAAAAUGACUCUUGGAUGUGGGGCCCACUUUUUAUUAUAAUAACCUCGUAUGAGAAUUCUGAAUGCGCCAUUGAGUCCGAAAUAUCGAAUUUAGUAGGGUAGCAUAUCUGGUUUAUUUUUAUCGGAUUCCGAACGAAUUCCGAGGGUCCAUUCGGAGACUUUAAAUAAUGAAAAACCAGAAAAAUCUGGUGCAAUAGUGCAGAUUUUGCACCAGAUUUUCAGAUUUUUCUCCUCAACUUUGAACCCUCAUUUCUUGAGUUCUAGAGCUCCAAAUUGGGUGAUUCAAAAGGCAAAAUUGUGAGGUUUUUCGUGGAGAACGCAUUGGAGAGAUUGAAAACUGAUUUGGAGCAUUCGAUUCAGAGGCUAUCUUGCGUGGAAAUUUAAGGAGAACAUCUUGGAAGUUUCAGAAUCUGUUUUUGGCAUGUCGUUCGAGCUUGGCAGCGUUCCGAGGCCGUUCGAAAGGGAAA